GAGUUUGAUCCUGGCUCAGGAUGAAUGCUGGCGGCGUGCCUAACACAUGCAAGUCGAGCGGUAACAGGUCUAGUUUACUAGAUGCUGACGAGCGGCGGACGGCUGAGUAACGCGUGGGAAUUUGCCCCAAAGUGAGGGAUAACUGCCCGAAAGGGUAGCUAAUACCGCAUAUGGUCUUCGGAUUAAAGGAUUUAUCCGCUUUGGGAGAAGCCCGCGUCGGAUUAGGUAGUUGGUAGGGUAAUGGCCUACCAAGCCGACGAUCCGUAGCUGGUCUGAGAGGAUGAUCAGCCAGACUGGAACUGAGACACGGUCCAGACUCCUACGGGAGGCAGCAGUGAGGAAUCUUCCACAAUGGGCGAAAGCCUGAUGGAGCAACGCCGCGUGAAGGAUGAAGGCCUUCGGGUUGUAAACUUCUUUUAUG
rnacentral:rRNA from 1 species